GUAUGUUGCUCUGAUGACAAGUGUAAUCCCAGCUCUAUGAGACCUUUUGUAGGUUUGAGAUUAGAAUUUGUUCACACAGUUCUGAGCUAUUU